rnacentral:rRNA from 1 species
CCUACGGGAGGCAGCAGUGGGGAAUAUUGCACAAUGGGGGAAACCCUGAUGCAGCGACGCCGCGUGAAGGAAGAAGUAUUUCGGUAUGUAAACUUCUAUCAGCAGGGAAGAAAAUGACGGUACCUGACUAAGAAGCCCCGGCUAACUACGUGCCAGCAGCCGCGGUAAUACGUAGGGGGCAAGCGUUAUCCGGAUUUACUGGGUGUAAAGGGAGCGUAGGCGGUUUAGCAAGUCAGAAGUGAAAGCCCGGGGCUCAACUCCGGGACUGCUUUUGACACUGUUGAACUAGAGUGCAGGAGAGGUAAGUGGAAUUCCUAGUGUAGCGGUGAAAUGCGUAGAUAUUAGGAGGAACACCAGUGGCGAAGGCGGCUUACUGGACUGUAAAUGACGCUGAGGCUCGAAAGCGUGGGGAGCAAACAGGAUUAGAUACCCGAGUAGUC